AAGUGGGAAUUAUGAGAGCUACAAGAUGAGAUUUGGGUGGGGACACAGAGCCAAACCAUAUCACAUGGCAUGCUAUUAGAAUGACAAUUGCUGUCCAUACUGAGCUCUCUUGGAAAUAUAGGCUUACACAAGUCUGGCAGUCAUGACCCUCUAUAUUCAGUGGCUUGUUAUGCCCUAGGGCAUGAAAGCAGCACCUCAAAAGCUCAGCAUGGCCACUGAGGUCUUCUGCUACAAAAUAGAGCCAAACAUAGGCUCCUGACAUAUUUCACUUGCAGGAGGGGUGUUCAGUCCUUUGCCAGAUGCUAUGUUGCUAAGGGAUGUUAACUCCCUUCCCAGAUCCUUUGACUUUGUGAAACUCUUUGAAAUUAAUUGAAUAAACAGCAGCAGGAGUUUGUAAACUUUACAGAUAGCAUCAACACCUCACACAUGAAGCUACUGCUUUUCAGUCCUUAACCAAAAUGUCCUAGAUAAAGUAUAGAACCCAAGGGUCAGCAUAAUUGGCCGAACUUUAGAAAGCUAUAUUAGCACUAGAUGACUUGGUCAACAACUGGCCCCAUCUGCAAAUUUUUACAUACUUGAGUCAUUGCCAAUUGUCUGGCUGUCUGGUACACUGAAUGACAACAAUAAUUUCUUAUCCAGAGUAAAGAACUCUAGGUAUCUCUUGCCCAACAGAUAUACAAAAUAUAAAUCAAGGUUAACCCCAAGGGGUUAACAAGUAUAUUGAUGAAUCCUUGUUGUGUGGAUUUAAUAGGUAUACACAAAUGUUUUAGACAUCAUUAAUACUGACCAAGGCACAUAUUCACAUCUCAGAAUACAUAAGGCUGGGCUUUUGGAUGAGGCAUUUAAUAGAAAUUUUACCUCUCUUACCUGCCUCAAGCUACAGGACUCAUAGAGUGUCAUAUGGUGUACUUAAACGAAUUCAAACUCAAUUCAAUUUUAAAAAUGGCAUAUUUUAGUCACAAACAUCAGGUGUCAGUUCUAAUAUCAUUUUUUAGUGUUUGUUUACUGACAGCUUUUAAGUUUUACCAUUCCCUCUUCCCCUCCUGCCCCAUAUCUCAGCAAGAUGAUAAGAAAGCCCAGUUGCUCCCUCUUUUGGCAUUAGUGGGAACUUUGAACCAAUCUUAUGUGGAAACCUUUACUCUGAUCUCACUUCCUAACUUAGAUAAGAACCCAAGCCAAUCUCCUUUCCCUACUCUCUCAAGAUGUUUUAAAGCCUUCUGAAAGCUACCUCCUCUCGCCUUAGAAAGUCUCAUGUCUGCAACAGAUAUUUUUAUAGUUUCUUGGUGUGCAUGAGUCAUCACUGUCAACAUCUGAACCAAAUUUUGGGUAAUCUCCAUCUUGCUUCUGAGGGAAAGGAAUGGCACCAACUCUCCAUGCUAGACCUGUGAUUCCUGCCAAAAGUGAACCUAUUUUCCUCUGUUUGAUGAAAGCCACAUUGCAGGAGGGCAUUGUUCCCAGCAGCUCUUGAAAAAGUAACUGCAUUGUAACUUUAACCUUUUUCAUGCCCAUCUUCUGUGUCUUUCUGAGGCAGACUCUUUGAGGUUAGAAUUGCUGUUCUAGUUCUAAUGGUUGACUCCAGUCACAGCAUGUGGCUUGGCACCCUUGAAAAUAAACUGCCAUAUUUUUGGCUUUUUAGAUCAUCUAUAGUCUAUAAUUGUGUGACUUUUGUUGCAAGGCCAUCCAACAAUGGUCCAAAAGUUAAGAUAUUCAAAGAGCAUUCUAUAUUCCCUACCAUUUACAGGCACUUGUUAUGGAUCAAUGAAAUAGCCACCUCAAAAAUUAAUGCAAAUAUAUUACUAACUUUAUCUCUUUUAUAUUCUCAUGGUCCCCGUUCCAUAUUAAGGCAGUUUUGCCACUGAAUGCAGCUAUCCCCUGAAAUAGUUUGUCCCCUGGAUAAUGGCAAGGAUGAAAGAUGUAGAAGGUAUGUAGAACUAAUUUGAAAGUUCUUGUUCCCAAUCCUGACAAUCCUUGGGUGUGAUGCAUUUUUCUUUCUCUUAACCACAGGUGAGCCUGCCACCCCACAUCUCUGGGUGGAGGCCUGGCCAGAAAGAGGCCUAAAAUCUCAAAAUUCAUUUUGGUUCAGCCAUCUGGAUUUGCUUUUUCAAUUUACAUGACUAAAAUCAUGAAGACACUGACCACAUCACUGAGCACACUGCUCCCUCAGUUCUACUAUGGUUGUCCUCUUGGGCCAAAAUACGACACUGCAACCUGGCAAAACAAUCAGAUGGUCUGCCUGAGUAAAGGAGCAUUUGCCAUUGGUAAUCUGACCCUUUGCUGAGAAAACAGAAAAAGUUAUGUGUACCUGGCCAGCUCUGAACUAUUUUGUUGUUCUUGAUGCUAUCAAUAGCCUUGAUGUCUAGGUGCCCUUGAGUUAUAUCAUAUACAAUGGUUGAGGCUGCAAUUUCUAGGUAACCCUGCCCGUGUGUAUUCACCAAAUCAAGGUAAUGAUGAUCCCAAAUAGGUUCAAAACAUAUACAGACAAGAAUAACCUGUGUACAUUCAGAUUUUAUGUUUGUAUGCGGGAGAUCAUGGACCAAAAUAUUUCUCUCGAUGGGGGUAGGGACUGCUUUCUGGCCCGUGUAUUACUCCCUUGUACUUAUUGGCAAUGACACUAAAAGAGCAAGAGAUUAGUUGCAACUCUCUUGUAUGGGUAAUAAUGAAUAAAAGACUUGGCCUCAGACUGCAACCUGGCUGCGUAAAAUAUGACUUACUGAUCCUGCUAAAACAUAUUCAUUAUUGACUGAUUUUGGGAUCCUGGGGAUAUAGUUGAGGCCAAUACUGUGGGUUGGAAUCCUACUGUUUGACAGAUUGUUAAUUAAAUGCUUUGUAAAAAUUGAA